UACAGAGGGUGCAAGCGUUGUUCGGAAUUAUUGGGCGUAAAGGGCGCGUAGGCGGUUCGGCAAGUCUCUAGUGAAAUCUCAGGGCUCAACUCUGAGUCUGCUGGGGAAACUGCCGGGCUUGAGUGUGGGAGAGGAGAGUGGAAUUCCCGGUGUAGCGGUGGAAUGCGUAGAUAUCGGGAGGAACACCUGUGGCGAAAGCGGCUCUCUGGACCACAACUGACGCUGAGGCGCGAAAGCUAGGGGAGCAAACAGG
rnacentral:rRNA from 1 species